rfam:Populus trichocarpa scaffold_7_contig_147, whole genome shotgun sequence.
CAUAGAUAAUGGCUUCGUUAAGGGAAUCCACCAGAGCCAUAGCGAAAGGGAGACUUCAUAGGCAAUUGUAUCUACUUAUAGACCUAAACUUAGAUGAUAUAUCCACCAUUAGGACGAAGCUUGAGUGAAACUAAGUAGAGAUCCAAACCGACUGAUAUUGAAGAAUAAGUAGAUGAGUUGUGGUUAGGGGUGAAAUGUCACUCUAACUCAAAGCUAGUUAGUUCUCCUCCAAAUACGUUGAGGCACAGCAGUUGAUUGGAUAUCUAAAGGUAAAGAACGGUUUCAGUACGGGCUAUGAGAGUAAUACCAAAUCAAGACAAACUCUAAAUACCAGGUAUGAUCUCAAAAUAACAAGGGUCAUGGCCGGCCAGUGAGAUGAUAAGGGAUAAAUUUCAUUGUUGAGAGGGAAAUAACCCGGAUCACCAGCUAAGACCCUUAAAUGACUGUCUUUCUGGAGAAUUAGAUAGUCUUCCUGAACAAGCCUUUUAUUUGAUAGGUAACAUUGAUUAAGCUACUGCAAAGACUAUAAACUUAGAAAUGGAGAACAACUUAAAGA